CUAAAGGACACACAGCACUCCCAUACACCUUGCAUUUCUGCUUUUGGCUAAGUUGCCAUCCAGAUACUCAAUUUCAUCUUUUUAUUAGAAAAUAAGAUCAGAUGCAGUUGCCCUUGGGAGAGGCACCUGCUUGCCUGGCACCUCCCACUGCUGCCAGCACUACCUUUUGCUGGAGGCCUGGGUGAUUUCUCCACCACUUGGCUGAUACCUGGAAUACUGCAGACUUCCUCUCUGUGCACAGGUAUACAGCCGUGCUCUACAGAAAGGGUCAGGAGUCAAUGAACCCCGUGCAGCUGUUAACUCUUUCCUCUUUUGGUCUCAGUGUAUACGUCAUUCGUCACACAGUGAACUGUGGAUGCUGAAGACAGAUGGACCACCAGAUGGACCCUGGGAAGGAUUGGUUAAAAUGUCAGUGAUAAGCUAACAAAAUGAAACACAGUAGACUGAAGAGACUAUUCAGCUGAAAAGCCUGUCUGCAGAAAUAAGUUUUGUAUUAUUCACAUUCAUUA